AACGAACGCUGGCGGCAGGCUUAACACAUGCAAGUCGAGCGCCCCGCAAGGGGAGCGGCAGACGGGCGAGUAACACGUGGGAACGUACCUUUUGCUACGGAAUAGCUCCGGGAAACUGGAAUUAAUACCGUAUGUGCCCUUCGGGGGAAAGAUUUAUCGGCAAAAGAUCGGCCCGCGUCUGAUUAGCUAGUUGGUGGGGUAAUGGCCUACCAAGGCGACGAUCAGUAGCUGGUCUGAGAGGAUGAUCAGCCACACUGGGACUGAGACACGGCCCAGACUCCUACGGGAGGCAGCAGUGGGGAAUAUUGGACAAUGGGCGCAAGCCUGAUCCAGCCAUGCCGCGUGAGUGAUGAAGGCCUUAGGGUUGUAAAGCUCUUUCGCUAGGGAAGAUAAUGACGGUACCUAGAGAAGAAGCCCCGGCUAACUUCGUGCCAGCCGCCGCAGUAA
rnacentral:rRNA from 1 species